CGCUAGGCGCACCCAGAACCCUUUGUGAACUUAUACCUUUUGUUGCCUCGGCGCAUGCUGGCCCCUAUGGGGUCCCCUGGAGACAGGGAGCAGGCACGCCGGCGGCCAAGUUAACUCUUGUUUUUACACUGAAACUCUGAGAAAAAACACAAAUGAAUCAAAACUUUCAACAACGGAUCUCUUGGUUCUGGCAUCGAUGAAGAACGCAGCGAAAUGCGAUAAGUAAUGUGAAUUGCAGAAUUCAGUGAAUCAUCGAAUCUUUGAACGCACAUUGCGCCCUCUGGUAUUCCGGAGGGCAUGCCUGUUCGAGCGUCAUUUCAACCCUCAAGCAUUGCUUGGUGUUGGGGCACUGCUUUUAACGAAGCAGGCCCUGAAAUCUAGUGGCGAGCUCGCCAGGACCCCGAGCGUAGUAGUUAAACCCUCGCUUUGGAAGGCCCUGGCGGUGCCCUGCCGUUAAACCCCCAACUUUUGAAAAUUUGACCUCGGAUCAGGUAGGAAUACCCGCUGAACUUAAGCAUAUCAAAA
rnacentral:rRNA from 1 species